GUAAUAAGAGAAGUGGAUCGAUAGUAAGAAUAAGUCAAUGGAGUCUCGAAGUGGCUAUCGACUGUCUCAAUCAAGGAUUGAAACUUAUUAUCGAAAGUCCUAGCCAAGCAUCUAUAUCCAUUGGCAGUGAGAUUAAUUGUAAGGUUGCCCUUCGGGCCCUCUAUCUUUCUGUCUCUCUCAUAGAGAGGAUCUAGAAAUGGGGGAUAAAAGAUAUCAUGGAUUGGAGUUAGCAGCUCAGAUCGAGCCCAUCCAGCAUCUGUUAAAGCAAUCUAAGGCCAUGGCACGCCUUAAUUAGAGAGUCUUGAUUCCUUUUGCCCUUGAAUCGUCUCAAUCAAUAGGUGAGCCUGUGAUCCUGCCAAUCCGGCUAAGAAGCUUAGGGUCAGAGAUGGUAGAUGGUGUUGUGUAAGGGACCAGUCUUGCACUUGGUGAUCACUUGAUCCCUAUCUGAGGACUAUCUUUCCUUUGGCAUGGACGGACAAGAGGCUCCAAUAAGCGAGAGAGACUUUGGUUGAGGAAAGAGGUCUUAUGCCAAACCUUUCUACAAGAUGUUAGAGCAUUUCUUAACAAGGGAGGGUAUGAAAAAGGGUUAUAGGCAGUCAGAUUGGACAAGGGAAGGACAAAGGGAAUGAAGCAAGAAAAGAGGAGAGAGGUGGGCUAUAGAGAGCCUAGUUCUC
rnacentral:lncRNA from 1 species